rnacentral:rRNA from 1 species
AGUGAACGCUGGCGGUAGGCCUAACACAUGCAAGUCGAACGGCAGCACAGUAAGAGCUUGCUCUUACGGGUGGCGAGUGGCGGACGGGUGAGGAAUACAUCGGAAUCUACUUUUUCGUGGGGGAUAACGUAGGGAAACUUACGCUAAUACCGCAUACGACCUACGGGUGAAAGCAGGGGAUCUUCGGACCUUGCGCGAUUGAAUGAGCCGAUGUCGGAUUAGCUAGUUGGCGGGGUAAAGGCCCACCAAGGCGACGAUCCGUAGCUGGUCUGAGAGGAUGAUCAGCCACACUGGAACUGAGACACGGUCCAGACUCCUACGGGAGGCAGCAGUGGGGAAUAUUGGGCAAUGGGCGCAAGCCUGAUCCAGACAUACCGCGUGGGUGAAGAAGGCCUUCGGGUUGUAAAGCCCUUUUGUUGGGAAAGAAAAGCAGCAGGUUAAUACCCCGCUGUUCUGACGGUACCCAAAGAAUAAGCACCGGCUAACUUCGUG